rnacentral:piRNA from 1 species
UGUGCCAUUUGUGACAACACAGUUGGUGC